rnacentral:sRNA from 1 species
UUCUAGACCCGAUAGUAACGGCAUCUUUUUUAAAUUGCUUCCAAAAAGCAAUUUGAAAAAAUAUAGUGGAUAGCGGGACAAGUG